rnacentral:rRNA from 1 species
GACGAACGCUGGCGGCGUGCCUAACACAUGCAAGUCGAGCGAGUGAAGUUCCUUCGGGAACGGAUUUAGCGGCGGACGGGUGAGUAACACGUGGGCAACCUGCCUCAUAGAGGGGAAUAGCCUUCCGAAAGGGAGAUUAAUACCGCAUAAGAUUGUAGUACCGCAUGGUACAGCAAUUAAAGGAGCAAUCCGCUAUGAGAUGGGCCCGCGGCGCAUUAGCUAGUUGGUGAGGUAACGGCUCACCAAGGCGACGAUGCGUAGCCGACCUGAGAGGGUGAUCGGCCACAGUGGGACUGAGACACGGCCCAGACUCCUACGGGAGGCAGCAGUGGGGAAUAUUGCACAAUGGGGGAAACCCUGAUGCAGCAACGCCGCGUGAGUGAUGACGGCCUUCGGGUUGUAAAGCUCUGUCUUCAGGGACGAUAAUGACGGUACCUGAGGAGGAAGCCACGGCUAACUACGUGCCAGCAGCCGCCGUAA